GAAAAAACAGAUACAAUUUUUGAUUUGUUAAAACUGAUAUUGACUAAAUUUAAUAUUUAGUAUUGAAAUGACUAGGGAUGCAUGAUAUAUUUUUUUCAUUGUUAAUGAUAUCUAAUGCAGAUAACUAAUGUUAACACAGAGAACCUUACUGGAUAGUGGUACCAUUAUGUAAAUUGAGUAACUGAGUAAAAAAAAAGGUAAUUUUGAGUUCAAUUCAUGCACAGAAAUUCAUAUGCAUUCAGCAGGAGAACAGGAAAGCACAGUCGACUCUGCGAUGCCAUCUGGAUCAGGUAUCGAAGUGAGUGGCGAGACAGGGCUUAAUAUUCUCAGAACAAUUCUGAGUAAACAAUCAAACCUUGAGGACGCAGACAUUGCAGCUGCAAUGCCGAAAAUCAGCUUCUCUCAAGAAUGGCACCAAAGUACUUUCAAGAAAUAGAUCAGUUUGUGGAGAACCACUUACCCUCGCUGCCACCAGAGGGAUCUCAAGUAAAGCAGAUGCAGGACUUUCUAAAGAGCGCACAGAGUAUUAUAUGCAAUGAGGUGCGCAGAUUAACACCUUUACUGAAAAAUGCUGGACUGCUAGUUCAUCUGAAGGACAGUUACAGCCGUCACCUCUUUACCAACCUGGACCUGCUACUAAACAGAGAUCUGUCUGUAAAACAGAUCUUCUGCCUUAUUAUGUGGGAAAAAGAUGUUUUCUUCAGUCCAGACUCAAAACUGAGUGUGUACGACCCUUCGCUGCUGACAGGAAGGUUUGAGAGAGCAAAGCAGAAACUGCUUCAAGUACUUCAGGAUGACAUCUCCAAGACUCUACAGAACAUCCUACACUAUGAUGAGAAACAUGGACAUAAUGAGGACUCAAUGGAUGAAGAAACUUUCAUCAGAGUUCACUUAGAUGUCACUCAGUGCCUGAACUAUGCUAUUUUUGAUGCUAAAAAAGUUGGUCUGACUUUGAUGCAUGCAGUACAAAUACUCUGUAGUGGAGAGCUGCAUGGUUUUGUUCAGAAGUAUGUGGAUGCUAAGAACAAACGUCUAUAAAAAACAAACGUUUACAGAGACAAACUCUGUGUAUCUGUUUCGGAUAAUCAACACCUGCAUGCAACUCAGGUAUUUAUUAAUGAUGAUUAAGUAAUGAACUAAUACAUGGCUGUUACAGAAACUGUAUCAGUGUAUAAUUAAAUCUGGACUAAUUGAAGAAUAAGACAUAUUUGUCACCCUUGAUUUAUUCAAGUGGCAGUAUAAUUGUGGAGAUAUUAAGAUGACUAAUAUUUGGCUGUCAUAUUUGACUAAAACAGUGGUUGCCUUUUUUCCAGGGCACCCUUAUUUUAACAGUCAACCUUUUUGAAUCAAUGAAUCAGUGACAUUAACAAUGAUGGCAGAAGAUUUUUAAAUGAAAAAAUAACGUUGGUUGAGUGAGUUUAACGAAAUUUCAACCAAGGGGGGCCUUUAAUUGGUCCGUGCCCAGGGCACCGCUGUGUCAUAAUCCGUCCCUGACUUACCGUCUGGAAUUUCAUCAUGGUUUGCUGCAACUGUUUCUAUUUAUAACCCUCAAACUGGAACGAGCUCAGCGACUCCUAGUGGUGUCACGACCCGGGGUUGGGAACCACUGGGGAAAAUCCUUGUGUAGAAUAAAACAGCUUUUCUAGGUCACUGUUAUAACUAGAGUCACUAUACGGUGAGUGUAUUAUUUUAAAAAUAUUUGUGCUAAGUUGUCCUUUUCCUAUCUGGAAUGAAAAUAUUUUACCUGUAGAUGUUGUGCUACACAAAUCAGUCCAAAUACAAACAGCAGAGAUGUCUCCUCAAGCACUAUAUGCAUGCUACAGAAACUGGAAGACAAUGCUUCAUCCAUUGUACGAAAGCUCAUGAAAUGCUUAGCACAGGCCAAUUUAGAAGGUUAUUUUGAGAAAAGAGAUGGGCAUAUUGAUAUCCUGAUGGAGGCAAUCCAAAGGCAGUGUGCAUCUCUGCCUGAGACUGCUUCAGAGAUCAAAACGGUCAUUGUGAAAAUAGCUUACGACAGUGUUUCCAAAGUGUACCUGGAAUGCUUGAUGAAGACAAAUGUCAGAAAGCUAGAGAUGCUUUGGGGAAAUGCUGAGGAAAAGAUAAAAGAGGAUGUUCAACAUUUUCACCAAAUAUUCUCUGACCUGAAUGGCAUUGCUGCCCAGGAGAGCUCCUUCAGAGAAUGAGUGUUUUGCUUUACAGUCAUGUAAAAACGAAGGACGUUACCAAUGCUUUGUUCAAAGACUUCCCUCAGGAGAGUGAGCAGUAUGUACCUGGUCUGCUGCGCUGGAAGGGUGUGUUAUCAGAGCAACAGGUGAAGGAAGUGCUGGAUGAGAUUCGGGAACCCUGCCAAAAUCCAGAUCCUACACAUGUCACCUGUUUUCUUCUGAAGGGACUUUUUUGUUGUAAAUAGCUUGAGGUCAGAGGUCAGUAAAAGUAAGCUAUGGAGAAUGUUCUCUGAACAUUGUGCUAUUUAUAUUUUCAAGCAUUCAGAUCUGAUGUUAAUUUUUAAAAUAUGUCCUAAAUCUUUUUUGUUCACACCUGUCUAAAACAAACUGUUGGUGUUCCGAACAAAGUGAAAAUACAGGUGAAUUGGAAACAAUUACUCUGUAAAGACUGACAUUUGAAAUAAUAGUUAGAACAAUUUUUUUUUUAAAUGGGACAGUUUAUUAAAAAUGUAUAUGCCAACUUACAUAAAAUGCAUUUAAAUAUUAGUUGUCACUCUGUAUCUUCCAAUAGUAUGUCUUAGUAAAAUGAUAUUUAAAUGCUUAGUUUUAUUAUCAAAGCUCUGUAGUUAUUUAUUGUUGGGCAAAACAUAUAAUGCAAUGCAAUACAAUAAUUGUUGAGAAAUUAACCUCUUAAGCACAGGGCUAUUUUGGGGAUUUCCGCCUGGCAUUUUUCCUACCCAAAUUCAAAAGCUUCCCAUACCCACAUGCAGAGGUGUACAUACAAAAGUUUGGUAUCAUUUUACAGGAAAUCCUUUGAAAUUACAUAAAACAGUGUUGAAACUGAUAAAAAUGGUUUAAUAUGUUGUCUGUGUUAUAAUAAAUGGGGAAAAAAAAAGGCGCUUUUUGAUUUUUUUUUUUAUAAACUGAAGUUUGAAAUUGUAUAGCUCAGGUUCUGAGAGGUCCAGCAUCCUGCAAACAAUUGUAUUUGUUUCCAGCACAUGUCAGCUAAUAGAGGAAAAAGGAAAUUUGUUUCUAUCAUAAUCUAUGCAAAAGUUAUUCUAUUCCAUCUAAAGGGAGGAAUAAUACCCUUUUUGUAUACAUUUUCCGACUACCCACAUUUGAAGACUCCAAAUACCCACAUAUAGUAGAAUAGAUGCAAUAUCUUUAUAUCCUUUUACAGAAAACCCUUUGAAGUGACAUAAAAAGCUGCUGUUUGUGACAAAUAUUAUUAUUUGUGUUGUUUUUCACAUGAUGAACCACCUCAAUACAAGGCGCUUUUUUUGUGUGUUCUAAACACUUUCUUUGAAAGUAGAUAACUCAGGCCCUGUGUGCUCUAGCAAACUGCAUUACUUUAUAAAAUAUAUCUGGUCUAUCACAAUCUAAAAUAGAAUCCACAUUCUCCAGCUUUAUAUCAUUUCAUUCAUGUGCAUUCUGUAUUGGUAUACUGAUUCAGAGCAUCUGACCUCAGCAUCCACUGUCUCACUUCAGCAUCUUCAGCACCCUCUUUGUCUGUUUGGUCGCGAGCUGCGGGCUAUCCGCUAACCGGAGCUGCUAUAUGGCCUUCAGAGCGUCAAAGAAACACAUAUAUGUUCAUCCACACAGC
ensembl:lncRNA